AUUGAACGCUGGCGGCAUGCCUUACACAUGCAAGUCGAACGGCAGCAUGGAGAGCUUGCUCUCUGAUGGCGAGUGGCGAACGGGUGAGUAAUGCAUCGGAACGUACCGUGUAAUGGGGGAUAACGUAGCGAAAGUUACGCUAAUACCGCAUACGACCUGAGGGUGAGAGCAGGGGAUCGCAAGACCUUGCGUUAUACGAGCGGCCGAUGGAAGAUUAGCUAGUUGGUGAGGUAAAGGCUCACCAAGGCGACGAGCUGUAGAGGGUCUGGGAGGAUGAUCCGACACACUGGGACUGAGACACGGCCCAGACUCCUACGGGAGGCAGCAGUGGGGAAUUUUGGACAAAGGGGGCAACCCUGAUCCAGCCAUGCCGCGUGAGUGAAGAAGGCCUUCGGGUUGUAAAGCUCUUUCGGCCGGGAAGAAAUCGCACAGGCUAAUACUCUGUGUGGAUGACGGUACCGGCAUAAGAAGCACCGGCUAACUACGUGCCAGCCGCCGCAGUAA
rnacentral:rRNA from 1 species